UGCAUCAUUUUAAUUCCCCCCCCCCCAUUCUUCUUCACUUCUGACGCACGAAAGCUUCCCCGCGUGCUCUGCUCCACGCCCCCGGCUGGUUUCCUUCGCCGGCCUGACCUUCUCUCCGGCCCAUGUGGGAGCAUUAGUUCGGACCGUUUGACUUCAUCUCUCCGGCACGUUUGGCUUCAUAACUCCGGCUGGGUUCGCUUCCUCUCUCGGCUUGUUUCUGUCCAUACGACGAAAAAAACUUCCCCAUUUAUUUUCGCCGCACAAUCCUCCGGUGGUUGGGUCUUUCCGGCGAAAGCAGGGGUGAGAGACAAGAAGGAGAGUCGAGUGAGAGUGAGCAGGACGGACGGGGGAGGGAAACGGCGUUUUGGUCACUCUGGCGUCGUGAGAGGGAGGAUCAUAUGGAGGAGGACGGACGUGAGAGGCCGUAUUCCGUUUAUGGGUCUGAGGGGUUUUUCUUCACUCCGGCUUCGUAACAGUCCUGAGAGGGAAGAGGGAGGAUCAGAGGGAGGAGGACGAACGUGAGAGGCUGUAUUCCGUUUAUGGGUUUGAGGGUUUUUUCUUCACUCCGGCAUUGUGACAGUCUUGAGAGGGAAGAGGGAGGAUUGUGAGAGGGAGGAUUGUGAGAGGGAGGGAAGAGUGAGGUCUGAGAGUUUGAAUGAAUUUCGUGCGUUUGAGAGUUUCAAUUUCGUCCCGCCCAGAUUAAACCGUGAUGUUGCCUCCGGACCAGGUUCGCCACGUCAAGAGUGCGUCGUGCGUUUUAAAAACCGGGGGAUGGAUAGAUUAAUUCAUCAUUUUAAUGGACUGUUAUUAAUGCUGGUCGUGACCUGGACACAGUUAACAAGGAAAAUGAGAUAAACAUAGAAGAAGAAAAAAGGUUCAUUCUGAGAUGCAGAUCAAACUUAAAAUGAGAUUCUGCCGCAGUUGAGGACGAACAGCUCCUUAAGAUGUACAUAACGACAAAUUGCUGCAAAUUUUUUCACCUCACCACCAGCCCACUCACAGGACUUUGCUUUCUGUCACUUACCACAUGUUAUUUUAUUUCCCAUAUUAUUUGCUUUCACCUGAGAUUUCAUCAUUUAUUGUAUAUUUUAUGUCAAUCCAUUUUUUUUUUUAUAGGCUGUCAAUCACUACCACCAGUCGUCCACCCACCUCACUUUUUUUCAUGUACAAUAACUCUUCUUUGUCACCCAUCAUAUCCCUUUCAAUCAAUACAAUUGCUUCCUUUUUCGAGACUCUUCUUCGGUUCCUCCCCGCCCUCUUUUCGCUCUCUCUCCUCUGGCCCCCCUUCUUCCCUGCCCCUUCUUUGUCUCUCCAUUUCUCUUGCUCUCUCUCCUCUGGCCCCCCUCCUCCUCGCCAGCUUCUCUCUGUCUCUCCAUUUCUCUCGCUCUCUCUCCUCUCACCCCCCCCCGUUAGUCUCGAAUGUCUUCCUCGUCCCCCUUCUGUUCUCUUUCUCUGUUGCUUCUUCCCCGCCCCCCCUUCUGUUUUCUUUCUCUGUUUCUUCUUCCCUACCCCCCCUUCUUCUCCUCCCCUUAUAUUUUGUUUUGGUUUUUUCUUUUUUACCACUGUGAGCCACCAUCAUUGCGUUCGUCUGCUAGGUUGCCUUUGAAGAAAAGGUUGGAUCUGUUGUUUGUUGGGUCUCCCUCGCAUCGCGGCUCAGAUCCGGUGCCUAUGGCUGCGCAUCGCAGCCCAUGACCACGUCGAACCUCCACGCUUCGGCCAUACCCACCUUCCCCAGCCCACGCCGAGCUCCCUCUCCAUCAGAUGCCCUCUCCAUCAUUUUUUUUUUCUUGAUGGCAUCUCAAGGACAUACGAGGAAUCAGAAGAUGGAAUUUCCAUGAUGGAUUUUAUUUUUUUGUUGGGUUUAUUUUCUUUAAAACACAGAUGUGAAUACGCAAAUAUAGUUUUUAUUUUCUUUCCA